GUAGGUGGCAAGCGUUGUCCGGAAUUAUUGGGCGUAAAGCGCGCGCAGGUGGUUCUUUAAGUCUGAUGUGAAGGCCCCCGGCUCAACCGGGGAGGGUCAUUGGAAACUGGGGAACUUGAGUGCAGGAGAGGAAAGUGGAAUUCCACGUGUAGCGGUGAAAUGCGUAGAUAUGUGGAGGAACACCAGUGGCGAAGGCGACUUUCUGGCCUGUAACUGACACUGAGGCGCGAAAGCGUGGGGAGCAAACAGGGAUUAGAUACCCUGGUAGUCCACGCCGUAAACGAUGAGUGCUAAGUGUUGGGGGGGUUUCCCGCCCCUCAGUGCUGCAGCUAACGCAUUAAGCACUCCGCCUGGGGAGUACGGUCGCAAGACUG
rnacentral:rRNA from 1 species